AUUGAACGCUGGCGGCAGGCCUAACACAUGCAAGUCGAGCGAGCGGCGGACGGGUGAGGAAUGUAUGGGGACUGCACGAUAGAGGGGGAUAACUAAUGGAAAAGGUGGCUAAUACCGCAUACGGUAGGAAAAACCAUAUGGGAUUAGCUAGUAGGUAAGGUAAUGGAUGACCAAGGCGACGUUCCCUAGCUGGUAUGAGAGGAUGAUCAGCCACACUGGGACUGAGACACGGCCCAGACUCCUACGGAGGCAGCAGGGGGGAAUAUGGCAGAAUGGGCGCAAGCCUGAUCUAGCCAUGCCGCGUGUAGGAAGAAGGCCCUAGGGUGGUAAAGUACUUUCAGUCGGGAGGCGUUACCGACAGAAUAAGCACCGGCUAACUCCGUGCCAGCAGCCGCGGUAAUAC
rnacentral:rRNA from 1 species